GACAAACGCUGGCGGCGUGCCUAAUACAUGCAAGUCGAACGACGAAAGCCUUCGGGCAAGUAAGAGUGGCGCACGGGCGAGGAACACGUAGAUAAUCUGCCCUUCAGUGGGGAAUAACUCUCCGAAAGGAGUGCUAAUACCGCAUAAGACCACAAGCUCUGCGGAGCAAGGGGUUAAAGGAUUUAUUCGCUGAAGGAUGAGUCUGCGUCCGAUUAGCUAGUUGGUGAGGUAAUGGCUUACCAAGGCAAUGAUCGGGAGAUGGUCUGAGAGGAUGAUCAUCCGCACUGAAACAGAGACACGGUCCAGACUCCUACGGGAGGCAGCAGUAGGGAAUAUUGGACAAUGGGGGAAACCCUGAUGCAGCAACGCCGCGUGAGUGAUGAAGGCUCUAGGGUCGUAAAGCUCUGUCGUAUGGGAAGAAAAAAAUGACGGUACCAUACAAGAAAGGACCGGCCAACUUCGUGCCAGCAGCCGCGGUAA
rnacentral:rRNA from 1 species